CUACGGGGGGCACCAGUGGGGAAUAUUGCACAAUGGAGGAAACUCUGAUGCAGCAACGCCGCGUGGAGGAUGACACUUUUCGGAGCGUAAACUCCUUUUAUAUAGGAAGAAGAUGACGGUACUAUAUGAAUAAGCGCCGGCUAACUCCGUGCCAGCAGCCGCGGUAAUACGGAGGGCGCAAGCGUUACUCGGAAUCACUGGGCGUAAAGAGCGUGUAGGCGGAUUAAAAAUUCAGAAGUGAAAUCCUAUAGCUUAACUAUAGAACUGCUUCUGAAACUCUUAAUCUAGAAUGUGGGAGAGGUAGAUGGAAUUUCUGGUGUAGGGGUAAAAUCCGUAGAGAUCAGAAGGAAUACCGAUUGCGAAGGCGAUCUACUAGAACAUUAUUGACGCUGAGACGCGAAAGCGUGGGGAGCAAACAGGAUUAGAUACCCUUGUAGUC
rnacentral:rRNA from 1 species